rnacentral:rRNA from 1 species
GACGAACGCUGGCGGCGUGCUUAACACAUGCAAGUCGAACGAAGAGCGAUGGAAGCUUGCUUCUAUCACUCUUAGUGGCGAACGGGUGAGUAACGCGUAAUCAACCUUCCCUUCAGAGGGGGACAACAGUUGGAAACGACUGCUAAUACCGCAUACGAUCCAAUCUCGGCAUCGGGACUGGAUGAAAGGUGGCCUCUAUUUAUAAGCUAUCACUGAAGGAGGGGAUUGCGUCUGAUUAGCUAGUUGGAGGGGUAACGGCCCACCAAGGCGAGGAUCAGUAGCCGGUCGGAGAGGAUGAACGGCCACAUUGGGACUGAGACCCGGCCCAGACGGCUACGGGAGGCAGCAGUGGGGAAUCGUCCGCAAGGGACGAAAGUCUGACGGAGCAACGCCGCGUGAGGGAUGACGGCCUUCGGGUUGUAAAGCUCGGUUAAUCGGGACGAAUGGUUCUUGUGCGAAUAGUGCGAGGAUUUGACGGUACCGGAAUAGAAAGCCACGGCUAACUACGUG